rnacentral:tRNA from 1 species
CGCGGGGUGGAGCAGCACGUUAGCUCGUCGGGCUCAUAAACCCGAAGGUCGCAGGUUCAAAUCCUGUCCCCGCAACCA